GACAACGCUGGCGGCGUGCUUAAUACAUGCAAGUCGAACGGAGCCUAGCCGGUAGUUUACUACAGGCGAAAGCUUAGUGGCGGACGGGUGAGUAACGCGUGGGCAAUCUGCCCCUAAGUCCGGGAUAACAGAGCGAAAGUUCUGCUAAGACCGGAUACUCUUCCUUGGUCGCAUGGCGGAGGAAGGAAAGGAUACGCUUAGGGAUGAGCCCGCGUCCCAUUAGCUAGUUGGUGAGGUAACGGCCCACCAAGGCGACGAUGGGUAGCCGGCCUGAGAGGGUGGACGGCCACACUGGGACUGAGACACGGCCCAGACUCCUACGGGAGGCAGCAGUAGGGAAUUUUCCGCAAGUGGGGGAAACCCUGACGGAGCAACGCCGCGUGAGGGAAGAAGGCCUUCGGGUCGUAAACCUUUGUCAUCGAGGACGAUAAUGACGGUACUCGAGGAGGAAGCCCCGGCUAACUACGUG
rnacentral:rRNA from 1 species